AUUGAACGCUGGCGGCAGGCCUAACACAUGCAAGUCGAGCGAGCGGCGGACGGGUGAGUAAUGUAUGGGGACUGCCCGAUAGAGGGGGAUAACUAAUGGAAACGGUGGCUAAUACCGCAUACUAUCGGAUAACCCAUAUGGGAUUAGCUAGUAGGUGGGGUAAAGGCUCACCUAGGCGACGAUCUCUAGCUGGUCUGAGAGGAUGCACAGCCACCGUGGGAAUGCGACACGGCCCAGACUCUUACGGAGGGAGCAGUGGGGAAUAUUGCACAAUGGGCGCAAGCCUGAUGCAGCCAUGCCGCGUGUAUGAAGAAGGCCUUAGGGUUGUAAAGUACUUUCAGCGGGGAGUCGUUACCCGCAGAAGAAGCACCGGCUAACUCCGUGCCAGCAGCCGCGGUAAUUC
rnacentral:rRNA from 1 species